CCUACGGGAGGCAGCAGUGAGGAAUAUUGGUCAAUGGACGCAAGUCUGAACCAGCCAUGCCGCGUGCAGGAUGACGGUCCUAUGGAUUGUAAACUGCUUUUGCACAGGAAGAAACAACUCUACGUGUAGAGUCUUGACGGUACUGUGAGAAUAAGGAUCGGCUAACUCCGUGCCAGCAGCCGCGGUAAUACGGAGGAUCCAAGCGUUAUCCGGAAUCAUUGGGUUUAAAGGGUCCGUAGGCGGUUUAGUAAGUCAGUGGUGAAAGCCCAUCGCUCAACGGUGGAACGGCCAUUGAUACUGCUAGACUUGAAUUAUUAGGAAGUAACUAGAAUAUGUAGUGUAGCGGUGAAAUGCUUAGAGAUUACAUGGAAUACCAAUUGCGAAGGCAGGUUACUACUAAUAUAUUGACGCUGAUGGACGAAAGCGUGGGUAGCGAACAGGAUUAGAUACCCUGGUAGUCCACGACGUAACGAUAGAUACUAGCUGUGGUAGAGAUACUCAGUGNGUAGACGAAGUAG
rnacentral:rRNA from 1 species